rnacentral:rRNA from 1 species
UAGGGAAUAUUGGGCAAUGGGCGAAAGCCUGACCCAGCCAUGCCGCGUGGACGAUGAAGGCCUUCGGGUCGUAAAGUCCUUUUCUGAGAGAAGAACCACCGGGGGAGGAAAUGCCCUCGGUCUGACGGUAUCUCAGGAAUAAGCAACGGCUAACUCCGUGCCAGCAGCCGCGGUAAUACGGAGGUUGCAAGCGUUGUUCGGAAUUACUGGGCGUAAAGGGGGCGCAGGCGGCUUGACCAGUCUGAAGUGAAAGCCCGGGGCUCAACUCCGGAAUGUCUUUGGAUACUGUCAAGCUUGAGUACGUGAGAGGAGAGUGGAAUUCCAGGUGUAGCGGUGAAAUGCGUAGAUAUCUGGAGGAACACCCGUGGCGAAAGCGGCUCUCUGGCACGUUACUGACGCUCAGGCCCGAAAGCGUGGGGAGCAAACGGG